GACGAACGCUGGCGGCGUGCCUAACACAUGCAAGUUGAGCGACGAACCAGGGCUUGCCCUGGGGCAAAGCAGCGAACGGGUGAGUAACACGUGGGUAACCUACCCCGAUAACCGGGACAACCCGAGGAAACUCGGGCUAAUACCGGAUGUGCUCACUGGACUUCGGUUCAGUGCGUAAAGGAAGCUUCGGCCUCCGUAUCGGGAGGGGCCCGCGGCCCAUUAGUUUGUUGGUAAGGUAACGGCUCACCAAGACCGCGAUGGGUAGCUGGUCUGAGAGGACGAUCAGCCACACUGGGACUGAGACACGGCCCAGACUCCUACGGGAGGCAGCAGUGGGGAAUCUUGCGCAAUGCGCGAAAGCGUGACGCAGCAACGCCGCGUGGGGGAAGAAGGCCUUCGGGUUGUAAACCCCUUUCAGGAGGGACGAAGGUUCGGCGGUGAAUAGCCGUCCGGACUGACGGCACCUCCACAAGAAGCCCCGGCUAACUACGUG
rnacentral:rRNA from 1 species